rnacentral:rRNA from 1 species
CCUACAUGAAGCGGGAGUUACUAGUAAUCGCAGAUCAGAAUGCUGCGGUGAAUGCGUUCCCGGGUCUUGUACACACCGCCCGUCACACCACGGGAGUUGGAGACGCCCGAAGCCGAUUAUCUAACCUGUUGGAAGAAGUCGUCGAAGGUGGAAUCAAUAACUGGGGUGAAGUCGUAACAAGGUAGCCGUAUCGGAAGGUGCGGCUGGAUCACCUCCUUUCUAAGGAA